UGAGGAAUAUUCGGCAAUGGGGGCAACCCUGACCGAGCAACGCCGCGUGGAGGAUGACGGUUUUCGGAUUGUAAACUCCUUUUCUCAGGGAAGAGCGAGGACGGUACCUGGGGAAUAAGUCACGGCUAACUACGUGCCAGCAGCCGCGGUAAUACGUAGGUGGCAAGCGUUAUCCGGAAUUACUGGGCGUAAAGCGCACGCAGGUGGCUGCUUAAGUCUGACGUGAAAGCUCCUGGCUUAACUGGGAGAGGUCGUUGGAGACUGGGCGGCUUGAGGCGAGGAGAGGGGUGUAGAAUUCCCGGUGUAGUGGUGGAAUGCGUAGAGAUCGGGAGGAAUACCAGUGGCGAAAGCGGCACCCUGGCCUUGGCCUGACGCUCAGGUGCGAAAGCGUGGGGAGCGAACGGGAUUAGAUACCCCGGUAGUCCACGCGGUAAACGAUGAAUACUAGGUGUAGGUGGUCUCAAAACUAUCUGUACCGCAGCUAACGCGAUAAGUAUUCCGCCUGGGGA
rnacentral:rRNA from 1 species